rnacentral:rRNA from 1 species
CGUUGCACUAUCGUUAACUGAAUACAUAGGUUAACGAGGCGAACCGGGGGAACUGAAACAUCUAAGUACCCCGAGGAAAAGAAAUCAACCGAGAUUCCCCCAGUAGCGGCGAGCGAACGGGGAGCAGCCCGGAGUCUGAAUCAGCUUGUGUGUUAGUGGAACGGUCUGGAAAGUCCGACGGUACAGGGUGAUAGUCCCGUACACGAAAAUGCACAGGUUGUGAACUCGAAGAGUAGGGCGGGACACGUGGUAUCCUGUCUGAAUAUGGGGGGACCAUCCUCCAAGGCUAAAUACUCCUGACUGACCGAUAGUGAACCAGUACCGUGAGGGAAAGGCGAAAAGAACCCCGGCGAGGGGAGUGAAAAAGAACCUGAAACCGUGUACGUACAAGCAGUGGGAGCCUCUUUAUGGGGUGACUGCGUACCUUUUGUAUAAUGGGUCAGCGACUUAUAUUCUGUAGCAAGGUUAACCGUAUAGGGGAGCCGAAGGGAAACCGAGUCUUAACUGGGCGUUAAGUUGCAGGGUAUAGACCCGAAACCCGGUGAUCUAGCCAUGGGCAGGUUGAAGGUUGGGUAACACUAACUGGAGGACCGAACCGACUAAUGUUGAAAAAUUAGCGGAUGACCUGUGGCUGGGGGUGAAAGGCCAAUCAAACCGGGAGAUAGCUGGUUCUCCCCGAAAGCUAUUUAGGUAGCGCCUCGUGAACUCAUCUUCGGGGGUAGAGCACUGUUUCGGCUAGGGGGCCAUCCCGGCUUACCAACCCGAUGCAAACUACGAAUACCGAAGAAUGUUAUCACGGGAGACACACGGCGGGUGCUAACGUCCGUCGUGAAGAGGGAAACAACCCAGACCGCCAGCUAAGGUCCCAAAGUCAUGGUUAAGUGGGAAACGAUGUGGGAAGGCACAGACAGCCAGGAUGUUGGCUUAGAAGCAGCCAUCAUUUAAAGAAAGCGUAAUAGCUCACUGGUCGAGUCGGCCUGCGCGGAAGAUGUAACGGGGCUAAACCAUGCACCGAAGCUGCGGCAGCGACACUAUGUGUUGUUGGGUAGGGGAGCGUUCUGUAAGCCGUUGAAGGUGUGCUGUGAGGCAUGCUGGAGGUAUCAGAAGUGCGAAUGCUGACAUAAGUAACGAUAAAGCGGGUGAAAAGCCCGCUCGCCGGAAGACCAAGGGUUCCUGUCCAACGUUAAUCGGGGCAGGGUGAGUCGACCCCUAAGGCGAGGCCGAAAGGCGUAGUCGAUGGGAAACAGGUUAAUAUUCCUGUACUUGGUGUUACUGCGAAGGGGGGACGGAGAAGGCUAUGUCAGCCGGGCGACGGUUGUCCCGGUUUAAGCAUGUAGGCGGAGGUUCCAGGUAAAUCCGGUACCUUNUUAACGCUGAGGUGUGAUGACGAGGCACUACGGUGCUGAAGUGAUAAAUGCCCUGCUUCCAGGAAAAGCCUCUAAGCAUCAGGUAACACGAAAUCGUACCCCAAACCGACACAGGUGGUCAGGUAGAGAAUACCAAGGCGCUUGAGAGAACUCGGGUGAAGGAACUAGGCAAAAUGGUGCCGUAACUUCGGGAGAAGGCACGCUGAUGUGUAGGUGAAGCCCCUGCGGGUGGAGCUGAAAUCAGUCGAAGAUACCAGCUGGCUGCAACUGUUUAUUAAAAACACAGCACUGUGCAAACACGAAAGUGGACGUAUACGGUGUGACGCCUGCCCGGUGCCGGAAGGUUAAUUGAUGGGGUUAGCGGCAACGCGAAGCUCUUGAUCGAAGCCCCGGUAAACGGCGGCCGUAACUAUAACGGUCCUAAGGUAGCGAAAUUCCUUGUCGGGUAAGUUCCGACCUGCACGAAUGGCGUAAUGAUGGCCAGGCUGUCUCCACCCGAGACUCAGUGAAAUUGAACUCGCUGUGAAGAUGCAGUGUACCCGCGGCAAGACGGAAAGACCCCGUGAACCUUUACUAUAGCUUGACACUGAACACUGGUCCUUGAUGUGUAGGAUAGGUGGGAGGCUUUGAAGCGUGGACGCCAGUCUGCGUGGAGCCAACCUUGAAAUACCACCCUUUAAUGGCUGGUGUUCUAACGUAGACCCGUAAUCCGGGUUGCGGACAGUGUCUGGUGGGUAGUUUGACUGGGGCGGUCUCCUCCCAAAGAGUAACGGAGGAGCACGAAGGUUGGCUAAUCCUGGUCGGACAUCAGGAGGUUAGUGCAAUGGCAUAAGCCAGCUUGACUGCGAGCGUGACGGCGCGAGCAGGUGCGAAAGCAGGUCAUAGUGAUCCGGUGGUUCUGAAUGGAAGGGCCAUCGCUCAACGGAUAAAAGGUACUCCGGGGAUAACAGGCUGAUACCGCCCAAGAGUUCAUAUCGACGGCGGUGUUUGGCACCUCGAUGUCGGCUCAUCACAUCCUGGGGCUGAAGUAGGUCCCAAGGGUAUGGCUGUUCGCCAUUUAAAGUGGUACGCGAGCUGGGUUUAGAACGUCGUGAGACAGUUCGGUCCCUAUCUGCCGUGGGCGCUGGAGAAUUGAGGGGGGCUGCUCCUAGUACGAGAGGACCGGAGUGGACGCAUCACUGGUGUUCGGGUUGUCAUGCCAAUGGCACUGCCCGGUAGCUAAAUGCGGAAGAGAUAAGUGCUGAAAGCAUCUAAGCACGAAACUUGCCCCGAGAUGAGUUCUCCCUGAGACUUUAAGUCUCCUGAAGGAACGUUGAAGACGACGACGUUGAUAGGUCGGGUGUGUAAGCGCAGCGAUGCGUUGAGCUAACCGAUACUAAUGAACCGUGAGGCUUAACCUU